AGAUUCCCCCAGUAGCGGCGAGCGAACGGGGAGGAGCCCAGAGCCUGAAUCAGCAUGUGUGUUAGUGGAAGCGUCUGGAAAGUCGCGCGAUACAGGGUGACAGCCCCGUACACAAAAGCGCAUGUGCUGUGAGCUCGAUGAGUAGGGCGGGACACGUGGUAUCCUGUCUGAAUAUGGGGGGACCAUCCUCCAAGGCUAAAUACUCCUGACUGACCGAUAGUGAACCAGUACCGUGAGGGAAAGGCGAAAAGAACCCCGGCGAGGGGAGUGAAACAGAACCUGAAACCGUGUACGUACAAGCAGUGGGAGCACAGGUUUACCUGUGUGACUGCGUACCUUUUGUAUAAUGGGUCAGCGACUUAUAUUCUGUAGCAAGGUUAACCGAAUAGGGGAGCCGGAGGGAAACCGAGUCUUAAUUGGGCGUUAAGUUGCAGGGUAUAGACCCGAAACCCGGUGAUCUAGCCAUGGGCAGGUUGAAGGUUGGGUAACACUAACUGGAGGACCGAACCGACUAAUGUUGAAAAAUUAGCGGAUGACCUGUGGCUGGGGGUGAAAGGCCAAUCAAACCGGGAGAUAGCUGGUUCUCCCCGAAAGCUAUUUAGGUAGCGCCUCGUGAAUUCAUCUCCGGGGGUAGAGCACUGUUUCGGCUAGGGGGCCAUCCCGGCUUACCAACCCGAUGCAAACUGCGAAUACCGGAGAAUGUUAUCACGGGAGACACACGGCGGGUGCUAACGUCCGUCGUGAAGAGGGAAACAACCCAGACCGCCAGCUAAGGUCCCAAAGUCAUGGUUAAGUGGGAAACGAUGUGGGAAGGCCCAGACAGCCAGGAUGUUGGCUUAGAAGCAGCCAUCAUUUAAAGAAAGCGUAAUAGCUCACUGGUCGAGUCGGCCUGCGCGGAAGAUGUAACGGGGCUAAACCAUG
rnacentral:rRNA from 1 species